GUCUAUGGCCAUGCUACCCUGAACAAGCCCGAUCUCGUCUGAUCUCAGAAACUAAGCAGGGUUGGGCCUGGUUAGUACUUGGAUGGGAGACCACCUAGGAAGACCAGGUGCUGUAGGCA
rnacentral:rRNA from 1 species